CGGGUGAGUAACGCGUGAGUAACCUGCCUUACACAAGGGGAUAGCCGUUGGAAACGACGAAUAAUACCCUAUGACAUAAACUCUUCGCAUGAGGAGCUUAUCAAAGAUUUAUCGGUGUAAGAUGGACUCGCGUCUGAUUAGCUAGUUGGUGAGGUAACGGCCCACCAAGGCGACGAUCAGUAGCCGGCUUGAGAGAGUGUACGGCCACAUUGGGACUGAGACACGGCCCAGACUCCUACGGGAGGCAGCAGCC
rnacentral:rRNA from 1 species